UACGGGGGGGGCAAGCGUUGUUCGGAAUUACUGGGCGUAAAGGGCUCGUAGGCGGCCAACUAAGUCAGACGUGAAAUCCCUCGGCUUAACCGGGGAACUGCGUCUGAUACUGGAUGGCUUGAGUUCGGGAGAGGGAUGCGGAAUUCCAGGUGUAGCGGUGAAAUGCGUAGAUAUUCGGAAGAACACCAGUGGCGAAGGCGGCUCACUGGCCCGGUACUGACGCUGAGGUGCGAAAGCGUGGGGAGCAAACAGG
rnacentral:rRNA from 1 species